rnacentral:rRNA from 1 species
UACGGAAGGCAGCAGUGGGGAAUAUUGCACAAUGGGCGAAAGCCUGAUGCAGCUAUGCCGCGUGUAUGAAGAAGGCCUUAGGGUUGUAAAGUACUUUCAUCGGGGAGGAAAAACAAACUAAUAAUUUUAUUUCUUGACGUUACCCGAAAAAGAAGCACCGGCUAACUCCGUGCCAGCAGCCGCGGUAAUACGGAGGGUGCUAGCGUUAAUCAGAAUUACUGGGCGUAAAGAGCACGUAGGUGGUUUUUUUAAGUCAGAUGUGAAUCCCUGGGCUUAACCUAGGAACUGCAUUUUGAAACUGAAAUACUAGAGUAUCGUAGAGGGAGGUAGAAUUCUAGGUGUAGCGGUGAAAUGCGUAGAUAUCUGGAGGAAUACCUGUGGCGAAAGCGGCCUCCUAAACGAAUACUGACACUGAGGUGCGAAAGCGUGGGGAGCAAACAGGGAUUAGAUACC